rnacentral:ncRNA from 2 species
GGAGCAGCUUCUGGAGAGACCGCGGAAGAUCCGCGGCGCCGAAGGGUUCAUUAUCUCAGGCAAAAGGACAGAAGAGUAUCG